rnacentral:misc_RNA from 1 species
AAGUCGUAACAAGGUUUCCGUAGGUGAACCUGCGGAAGGAUCAUUACAAGAAACGAGGCUACGUGCCCCGCUCUUUACCUUGCCUACUGCACUAUCUGUUGCUUCCUGGCGGCGGUUUGCCUGCCGCCAGGGACAUUGUAAAGCCCUGUAUAAGCAUUAAAAAACUGAAACAAACCGAAUCGUACAACUUUCAACAAUGGAUCUCUUGGUUCUG